rnacentral:rRNA from 1 species
ACUCCUACGGGAGGCAGCAGUGGRGAAUAUUGGACAAUGGGGGCAACCCUGAUCCAGCAAUGCCGCGUGAGUGAUGAAGGCCUUCGGGUARUAAAGCUCKUUCGGCGGGGAAGAUGAUGACGGUACCCGCAGAAGAAGCCCCGGCUAACUUCGUGCCAGCAGCCGCGGUAAUACGAAGGGGGCUAGCGUUGUUCGGAAUUACUGGGCGUAAAGGGCGCGUAGGCUGUGCUGUAAGUCAGGCGUGAAAUCCCCGGGCUCAACCUGGGAAUUGCGCAUGAUACUGCGGCGCUUGAAGACGGGAGAGGAUGGCGGAAUUCCCAGUGUAGAGGUGAAAUUCGUAGAUAUUGGGAAGAACACCGGUGGCGAAGGCGGCCAUCUGGCCCGUAAUUGACGCUGAGGCGCGAAAGCGUGGGGAGCAAACAGGAUUAGAUACCCUGGUAGUCCACGCCGUAAACGAUGAGUGCUAGACGUCGGGGGGCUUGCCCUUCGGUGUCGACGCUAACGCAUUAAGCACUCCGCCUGGGGAGUACGGUCGCAAGAUUAAAACUCAAAUGAAUUGACGG